GGAAGUAAAGACACAAGAGAGCGCGUGCAGCUCCGCCUCAGAACUGCUCACCACAGUGGAGCCGCCAGCUACUAGUCAGAAAAGCGCGGGGACAGCCCGGGCAGUGAUCUAGUGGAAGUCCUCAAGUACCUCAAGAUGAAGGACGAGCGGAACGCCGUGCUGAGAGAGCAGGAGCUAGCCCUGAGACGCCGGGAGUUGGAGCUACAGCACGAGAGGGAGGACUUUGACAGGAGAGAGAGGACCGCACUACUCUCUCUGCUACAGGCGCAGCUACAGAGGGCUGCCGGAUACGUGUUUGAGUAGAUUUAGGUUGGAGUUUAGGAGAGCGUUUUACGGCACUGUACAAGUGUUGAAGAUUAUAAGCUACCGGAUACAUGUUUGAGUAGAUUUAGGUUGGAGUUUGGGCGAGGGUUUUACGGCAUUUGCGACACAAUACAGAAGGUUUUAUGAGUGCUGAAGAUUAUAAUCUACAGAGGGCCACCGGAUACGUGUUUGAGUAGAUUUAUAUUGGAGUUUGGGUCAGGGUUUUACGGCAUCUGUAAGACAAACAGAAAGAGAUAAUAUGAUGAAUGCUGAUGACUAUGCUACAGAGGACAACUAGAUACGUGUCGGAGUAAAUUUAGGCUCGAGUUUGGGUAAGAGUUUUAGGUUUGAGUCUGAGAGAAAGAUUUACAGCAGUUGCAACAUAAUUUGGUUAUCAGGUCAUAAAAGCAGUGACGAAGCGUCUAUAUAUAUAAUCA